rnacentral:tRNA from 1 species
UGCGAGGUCAUCUAGCGGUAGGAUACAUGUCUCUGGAACAUGUCACCUAGGUUCGAAUCCUAGCCUCGCAG